UUCCCUGCGCCCAGAGAAAGACCACAUGAUGACUGCUGUUUGUGACCUUUUUUCUUUUUUUUUUUUUACAGCAGAGAAGUCAGUUCAAGGGCAUAAAAAAAGGUAACAAAUGUGAAAAAAAAAGCCCGCUACUCACUGCUCCUAUAAAGAGUUAGAGGAGUGGCCGAAAGAUAGGUCAAUUUCGGCCUGGUGUAGUUUGUAGUGUGUAUUCUAAAUGUUUGUAGAGUGUACUGUACCUAUAUAAUAAAGGAGAGUGUAGAGUGUAUAAAGGAAAUUCUUGUAGAGUGUAUAAACUAAAUGUUGGUGUAUUUUGUUAUAUACUAAAUCAAACACAUACAAUUAACUGAUCUGAAACUAUCACUGAUGUACAUUUCUUUUGACAUUGCAGGCGUGUACUGCCAAAAUCUCAGAUCCAUUUACAAGGCAGCCAUACCAGAGAGGGGACCAGACGUGUGGCUCAGGCCUUGUAUACUACAACUAGGUAAAUACAACAUAAGUGAAUUCAAGACUAGUACAUGCACUGCCUUUCAGAUUCAUUUAAAAGUCAGCCAUAUCAGACAACAGGAAGGUUACAGGAUGAUGACUAUAGAUAAGGAGAGGGGACCAGACAUGUGGCUGAGGCCUUGUAUACUAAAACUAAGUAAAUACAGCUAGGUGAAUUCAAGACUAGGACGUGCAAUGCCUUCCAGAUCCAUUUGCAAGUCAGCCAUAUCAGAUAACAGGAAGGUUACGCAUGACUAUAGAUAAGGAGACCAGACAUGCAGCUCAGGCCCUGUAUACUACAACUAGGUAAAUACAGCUAGGUGAAUACAAGAUUAUGACAUGCACUGCCUUUCAGAUCCAUUUACAAGUCAGCCAUAUCAGACAACAGGAAGGUUAUGCAUGACUAUAGAUAAGGAGACCAGACAUGUAACUCAGGCCCUGUAUACUACAACUAGGUAAAUACAGCUAGGUAAAUACAAGAUUAUGACAUGCACUGCCUUCUAGAUUCAUUUACAAGUCAGCCAUAUCAGACAACAGGAAGGUUAUGCAUGACUAUAGAUAAGGAGAAGGGACCAGACAUGCAGCUCAGGCCCUGUAUACUACAACUAGGUAAAUACAAGAUUAUGACAUGCACUGCCUUCCAGAUUCAUUUACAAAUCAGCCAUAAUUAUCAGACAACAGGAAGGUUACGCAUGACUAUAGAUAAGGAGACCAGACAUGUAGCUCAGGCCCUGUAUACUACAACUAGGUGAAUUCAAGACUAGGACAUGCAAUGCCUUCCAGAUUCAUUUACAAGUCAGCCAUAUCAGACAACAGGAAGGUUAUGCAUGACUAUAGAUAAGGAGAAGGGACCAGAGAUGUAACUCAGGCCCUGUAUACUACAACUAGGUAAAUACAAGAUUAUGACAUGCACUGCCUUUCAGAUCCAUUUACAAGUCAGCCAUAUCAGACAACAGGAAGGUUACGGCAUGACUAUAGAUAAGGAGAAGGGACCAGACAUGUAACUCAGGCCCUGUACACUACAACUAGGUAAAUACAGCAUAGGUGAAUUCAAGACUAGCACAUGCACUGCCUUCUAAGUCCAUUUACAAGUCAGCCAUAAUGAUCAAACAGGAAGGUUACAGCAAGAUGACUCCCUACUCUUUACUUUUAUCUUUUAUAGGAGCGGCGAAUAGCGGGCUUUUUUUUGGUACUCUUUUUAUUGCCCUUGAGCCAUGUCCUCUAAUGUAAAAAAAAAAAUAA